rnacentral:sRNA from 1 species
CUGGCAGCACCAGAGUUUGAAAUCCUCCAUGGAGCCACAAGAGAGAUGCAAGAUGGAGCAGAGUAAGGUUCCCCCAUGCCACCCUGCCAAGGUGCUUCAAGUCGGUCUUGAAGGAACCACCUCUGGGAUGAGAGGAGAGUUCAGUCUCCAUGGCCCAGCCAGUUCUUGGUCUCU